GGUCACUGGAGCUGCUCUCAGCUGUGUUGCCCAAAGGGACAUACAGCACACAGCCUGUGGAGGGUGGAGGAACCAACUGCAAGUUUCGCAGCUGAAUUCAAACUCAUUCCCAGAUCACUUGUCCUCCUCAAUUGAUGUACACUGAAGAAAGGGCCACCUUCAGGUUGUAAGGCCGUCGUAUAAUCCUGACCACUCAUUUCCCAUCAUGAGACUGCUGUUCCUUCUCUUUCUCCUUCUUGGAUGUCUGAUACAAACAGCCUCAGGAUAUGAGAGAAAGGAUAGAUUCCAUGGAUGUGAACACAUGGGUGGUGUCUGCAGGCACCAAAACACCCACGGCUGCUCUAUCCUCCCUGCACAGUGCAAAAGCCGGUACAAACACUGCUGUAGGCUGUAGCUGCAACAGCUGGAGUGGCCUCAGGGUAGCCCAGGAGAACCACAGCCUCUGACUUCUGCUUAAUAAAGGCAUCACCACUCAUGUGGA